rnacentral:rRNA from 1 species
CCCGCUGAACUUAAGCAUAUAAUUAAGCGGAGGAAAAGAAAUUAACUAAGAUUCCCAUAGUAGUGGCGAACGAAGUGGGAAAUAGCCCAAACUGUGAACUGUCAAGUCUAUUGACGGAUUGAGGUUGUGCUGAAAGGCCAGUUGAUGCUCGGAGUUAAGCCUCGUGGAUGCGAGUGCCAAAGAGGGUGAGGGCCCCGUCCUUACUCUGAGUGCAUCAACGGUCGGUCUUCAAGCAAUGAGUCGUGUUCCUUGGGAGUGGAGCGCAAAUAGGUGGUAGCUUUCAUCUAAGGCUAAAUACUGGAGAGACACCGAUAGCGAAGAAGUACCAUGAGGGAAAGAUGAAAAGAACCUCGAAAGGGGGAUUAAAAUUGCCUGAAACCGUUGAAAGGGAAUCGAUUGGAGAUUUAAUUGCCAUUUGAGAUCCUGUUCAGAAUGUCCUUUGUUGAUGCGUAAGCUCAGUAAGGUUACAUUCACGUUCAUAUCUCAGUGCAAAAUGGUUGGAUCUGGUUAGUUUCCACAUUGUCCAAUCUGUAUCAGGGCUUGCUUUGAUGGUUGGUACUCUGUGUAACUGCCGGGUGAGCGAUGUAACCAUUGUAAAAGUCUUCAAACGACCCGUCUUGAAACACGG